AUAUUUCUCCAAUCUCUUCUUCCUCUUCCUCUGCUGCUCCCUCUAACUACUCUUAUUCUUCUGGUCAGCAACCUAUCCCUCAACCUCUCACUGCCAUUCCCAUUACCUCUUCUCCUUCUUCCUCUCCUGCCCUCAUUCUCUCUGAUCCAGCUGAAGCUAGCACUCUUUCUCCCUCCUCUUCAUAUUCCUCUCCUUCAGUUGGU
rnacentral:lncRNA from 1 species